rnacentral:rRNA from 1 species
GAUGAACGCUGGCGGCGUGCCUAAUACAUGCAAGUCGAGCGAAGCGGGGACGGGGGAGUAACACGUAGAUGAACUCCUCAAAGACCGGGAUAACUUCGGGAAACCGGAGCUAAAACAGAUAAUUAUAGAUGGCUCCGUGCGGCAUUCGCUAGUUGGUAAGUUAACGGCUUACCAAGGCAACGAUGCAUAGCCGAACUGAGAGGAUGAUCGGCCACACUGGGACUGAGACACGGUCCAGACUCCUACGGGAGGCAGCAGUAGGGAAUCUUCGGCAAUGGGCGAAAGCCUGACGGAGCAACGCCGCGUGAGUGAUGAAGGGCUUCGGAUCGUAAAACUCUGUUAUUAGGGAAGCGGUACCUAAUCAGAAAGCCACGGCUAACUACGUGCCAGCAGCCGCGGUAAUUC